rnacentral:rRNA from 1 species
AAUGCGAUUUGGCGGCAAGAAAGCUUUCUAGAGGAAUCUGCCCUAUAAACGACAUUCCACGAGACAUCUUACUUUUACUGGUCUUCAGUUUGUAUACCAUUGUUGUCAGCUAGUUUUAUUAGAAAUCUUGCAGGUAUAAUUAUUUAAAGACUUCAAAUAAAGGUGCAGCGGAUGUAAAAGGUUGAGGUGGAUUACAAUUAAAAGAGUAAUUACGAAGGAGGGUAUGUAAAU